ACAGGAUUAGAUACCCUGGUAGUCCACGCCGUAAACGAUGUCGACUUGGAGGUUGUGCCCUUGAGGCGUGGCUUCCGGAGCUAACGCGUUAAGUCGACCGCCUGGGGAGUACGGCCGCAAGGUUAAAACUCAAAUGAAUUGACGGGGGCCCGCACAAGCGGUGGAGCAUGUGGUUUAAUUCGAUGCAACGCGAAGAACCUUACCUACUCUUGACAUCCAGAGAACUUAGCAGAGAUGCUUUGGUGCCUUCGGGAACUCUGAGACAGGUGCUGCAUGGCUGUCGUCAGCUCGUGUUGUGAAAUGUUGGGUUAAGUCCCGCAACGAGCGCAACCCUUAUCCUUUGUUGCCAGCGGUUCGGCCGGGAACUCAAAGGAGACUGCCAGUGAUAAACUGGAGGAAGGUGGGGAUGACGUCAAGUCAUCAUGGCCCUUACGAGUAGGGCUACACACGUGCUACAAUGGCAUAUACAAAGAGAAGCGACCUCGCGAGAGCAAGCGGACCUCAUAAAGUAUGUCGUAGUCCGGAUUGGAGUCUGCAACUCGACUCCAUGAAGUCGGAAUCGCUAGUAAUCGUAGUACAGAUAGCUACGGUG
rnacentral:rRNA from 1 species